rnacentral:lncRNA from 1 species
CUUCCUGGCUCCGGACCUCAGCUCUUCAGCUGUAAAACAAAGAAGUAGGAUUUGAUGGCCUCUUAGGCACCUUCCAGAGCAAAACUAAUGAUCUUCUGUUCCUAGAUUGGUGCAGCCAGUGACUUUUAUGCCCUCAGAGAAACAAACUCCCUCGUCAUUGGAUAUAAUGGGUUGAAACCUUCCUUUUCAGUUAACUUAAGGGGCCUCCUUUUCUGCUCCACAUUGAGACCUGGGUUCUGUGUAAAUUGUUCAGACACCUGAAUUGUUCCCUGGGGAGACCAUGGAGGAGGACCACGGCCACCAAGGGUCAGCAUGAGGCUAUGCAAACAGCAGGUGCUCAGAAACAUUUGGCAGUGGCAUGGAUGAUGGAGUAAAUAUCUCCUGGUGGAAAAAGAUCAAAUGAGAUGUGAUGCUUUAGGAACAGAAGAUUACAACCCAUCUCUGUGGGUGAAAACUUGAGGCCACUAGAAUGCCUGCAGCUAAUUAAUGCCUCUAAGGUGCUUUUAAAUCCUGGGAUGAAAGGGAAGUCAUCCAGCAGCAAAUGCCAAAGGUUAGUGAUUUAAAGUCUUUCUAAACCUUUCAGACAGUGCUGGAAUGAGGACAGCACCAGCUCUUGCUUUU